GUUGCUGGGAAUUGAACUCAGGACCUCUGGAAGAAUGGACAGUGCUCUUAACCUCUGAGCCAUCUCUCCAGCCCCGAUCUUCAAUUUUCUUAUACCUAAGUUAUGAACAAUGGAUGUUCAUGUCUUAGGUAUCAAUGUCUUGAGGGGCUUAGUAUAGAGCCUGGUACCUAGGCUGGAUGUGGUGGCACACACCUAUAAUCCCAGCACUUGGGAGGCAGAGGUGGGUUCCUCUCUGUGAAUUUGCAGGGCGCUGCACAAACUGUGGACACUGUUGGGUUGACUGCUCUACUCUGCCUUAUCAAAGUAAGAUAAAGAAUGUUAAGACCUUACCAAGGAUUUGACAGAGACACACAAGACAGGAGAGAAUGAAGAACCAGCCUGCCUCCAUCUUGGGUGUUAAAGCCAUCUUACAGUAAAGACAAAGUAGGUUCAUUCCUGUUUAUGAUUAAAUCUCUGUUUCUCAAGGAUUGGGCUAUGCCCCACCUAAACCUUAACUACAAAUAGUUCUAGACUGUCUGUUCCAGGAAUGGCAAUCAUGUCUUUAUUUUAAAAAGUUGUUAUAAUUGUCUUGCAACCGUAUCUUUGUUUCAAAAGGUUGUUAUGACUAUCUAUUGUUAUGACUAUCUAUUAUUAUUAUUAUUUUUGGUUUUUACGAGACAGGGUUUCUCUGUAUUGUUUCGGAGGCUAUCGGUCCAGCCCGGCCUCAAACUCACAGAGAUCUGCCUGCCUCUGCCUCCCAAGUGCUGGGAUUAAAGGCGUGUGCCACCACCGCCCGGCAUGACUAUCUAUUAUUAUGCCCACCUUGUUAUGCCCACCUUGCAACCGUGUCUUUGUUUCAGGGGAUCAGGGCCUUGUUAUGAUGUUCUGUUCCUGUAACCCCACCUAUUUUGCCACCAAAUCCCCCAUUUGAAACCUCUACCUGAACUGUGAAAGCCAUGUCUUUCUCACAUCCAAGGCUGACCUCUAGAACCUCACCUUAGGGGGAGGCAGCCCGAGGACACAAAUAAAAAAGCUUGUUUUAAUUAA